UACGUAGGGGGCAAGCGUUGUCCGGAAUUAUUGGGCGCAAAGAGCGUGUAGGCGGCCAGAUAAGUCCGCUGUGAAAUCUCGAGGCUCAACUUCGAGCUGUCGGUGGAAACUAUCUGGCUAGAGUCCGGAAGAGGAGAAUGGAAUUCCUGGUGUAGCGGUGAAAUGCGCAGAUAUCAGGAAGAACACCCGUGGCGAAGGCGGUUCUCUGGGACGGUACUGACGCUGAGACGCGAAAGCGUGGGGAGCGAACAGG
rnacentral:rRNA from 1 species